UAAAAUGUUCGUAUUAAGAAGAGGUUUCAAAUCAGUGUGUUUUCAUUUUAAAUCAGACCUUUUUGAUGGAUAAUAGCAUACAGUUUAUUGAGAAAAUAAUUCCAAUUCGCAUUUAACGGAAAACAGUAUAAGGAAUUAUCUUACGCCUUCCCAUGCGUCCUGUAGUAAUAAGUGAUUAAAUACGUUCGUCUAGCGACUGGAAGACCUUCUGUUCAAAAUCUAGCGAGAAUAAAGAUAAUUUUGUUAGUUUCUUGAGCUCCGAAAAAAUUAAUAGUCUCUACAAUCAUAUCAUUUAAAGUGGUUGUAGAGUCAUUAGGAUUUUUUGAAGCAGAAGAAUGAAAAAAGAGCAACGCCUUCGCCGGGAAUCGAACCACGGAUCUCUCGGUUACGCGUCGAGAGUGCUGACCACUACACCAGGAAGGCAUGCGAAGAAGGCGGGAGAAAUGCCUUAUAUACUUUCCCCUUUAAAGGGCGACUGGGGUUUAGAGGCCCCAAUCGCCAAAUCCCGGUGGUGGAGAAUCAUCAUCCACCACCUUGUUAGUUCGGGCGCUAGUGUAGUUAUGCGUCCAGCGUGCUGACCACUACACCACAAAGGCGAACUACUGCGAAAGCAUUUGCCAAGAAUGUUUCCAUUAAUCAAGAACGAAAGUUAGAGGUUCGAAGGCGAUCAGAUACCGCCCUAGUUCUAACCAUAAACGAUGCCAGCCAGCGAUUCGGCUGUGUUCCUCAAAUGACACGCCGGGCAGCUUCCGGGAAACCAAAGCUUUUGGGUU
rnacentral:ncRNA from 1 species